rnacentral:rRNA from 1 species
AGUGAACGCUGGCGGUAGGCCUAACACAUGCAAGUCGAACGGCAGCACAGUAAGAGCUUGCUCUUACGGGUGGCGAGUGGCGGACGGGUGAGGAAUACAUCGGAAUCUACUUUUUCGUGGGGGAUAACGUAGGGAAACUUACGCUAAUACCGCAUACGACCUACGGUUGAAAGCAGGGGUUCUUCGGACCUUGCGCGAUUGAAUGAGCCGAUGUCGGAUUAGCUAGUUGGCGGGGUAAAGUCGCACCAAGGCGACGAUCCGUAGCUGGUCUGAGAGGAUGAUCAGCCACACUGGAACUGAGACGCGGUCCAGACUCCUACGGGAGGCAGCAGUGGGGAAUAUUGGACAAUGGGCGCAAGCCUGAUCCAGCCAUACCGCGUGGGUGAAGAAGGCCUUCGGGUUGUAAAGCCCUUUUGUUGGGAAAGAAAAGCAGCAGGUUAAUACCCCGCUGUUCUGACGGUACCCAAAGAAUAAGCACCGGCUAACUUCGUG